UUAAAUGCUUUGAAAGAGACAAAACUAUUCACUUAGCUAUUUACAGAGAGUCGGAAGUGCUGAGAACCGACAAUAGCAGAAUACAAUGAUCACUCUUGAGCAGUUUCUUCGAAAGAUUAAACAAGUAGAAGAAAACGGAUGCCACCGUUAACAAGGCUAAGGUUGAUAGACCUGAAUAAAGUGAUGGCAUGAACGCCAUAAAUAGGGUGGUACCGCGAAUCCUUCGUCCCUAUA
rnacentral:ncRNA from 1 species